rnacentral:rRNA from 1 species
GACGAACGCUGGCGGCGUGCUUAACACAUGCAAGUCGAACGGAAAGGCCCUGCUUUUGUGGGGUGCUCGAGUGGCGAACGGGUGAGUAACACGUGAGUAACCUGCCCUUGACUUUGUGAUAACUUCAGGAAACUGGGGCUAAUACCGGAUAGGAUCUCCUGCUGCAUGUGGGGGGUUGGAAAGUUUCGGCGGUGGGGGAUGGACUCGCGGCUUAUCAGCUUGUUGGGGUGGUAGGGGCUUACCAAGGCUUUGACGGGUAGCCGGCCUGAGAGGGUGACCGGCCACAUUGGGACUGAGAUACGGACCAGACUCCUACGGGAGGCAGAAGUGGGGAAUAUUGCACAAUGGGCGGAAGCCUGAUGCAGAAACGCCGCGUGCGGGAUGACGGCCUUCGGGUUGUAAACCGAUUUCGCCUGUGACGAAGAGUGAGUGACGGUAAUGGGUAAAGAAGCCCCGGCUAACUACGUG